GGCCAACCCGUUCUACCUCUGAGCCACAGCCACCUCCAAUUCGGGCAGACAGAGCCUGUCUUAAGAAAUUCCACCUCUAUCUGAGCACCAGUUAUUCCAAGUAGUAGUCACCAUGCAGUUCAGACAAGAUAUACAAUGCAAAGACAAUAUGGUGGAGAGACUUCUGACUCCCUGUUCAGCUACCUGAUGGAGCGAGUCAGGAACAACCUGAGC